CGGCGUGCCGCCCGCCGGAAGGGGCGGCGGCGGGACUUCCCGCCAGGAAAGG
rfam:Firmicutes bacterium CAG:176 genomic scaffold, scf40